rnacentral:misc_RNA from 1 species
GAGAAACCAGAGAACUAACCACCUGUUAAUGGAAACAAGCAAGCAUAUUAAGGGUUUGUAGAUAGACGGUCAUCACUCUCACCAAUUUUAUCAAAUUAUAAAGUCAAACACGUGGAAAGCGGCAAUUUUGCCCAUAUGAUUUAUGUGAGUUACAAACAACAGAGAUUAUGGAUGCAAACAUUGCAUGCCAAAAAUACAUCCAAACAUCACAAGGAGCCUCAAACAAAAAUAAAACAGGAAAUCAUCCAAAUGUGAUACAAUCAGCUUGGAAAGAGUAAAAUUUAAAUGAUCAUAGCCAUAGAAGAAUCAUACUAUCCCAAAAAACAUAGUUGCUAAACUAGAAUGUUGCAAGGGAAAAGACCUAGACAAGCAUACAUGAUAGCCCACGAAUGGCCAGCACCCAACAGCUAAACUGCACUUUGCAUGACUACAUUUGAACCAAGUACUACUCUAUCCGACAAGUCCACAACACCAGCUCGUUGCCACUCCAUAUAAAACUUUUUAGGAAGAACCAGAGUUACCUGGAAUGCAGUACCCCUCAGUAAGGGGACAUUGUACGCCACUUAGCUAGAUAUAAGGUUUGUUGGGGGUAAGCUUAGUUGGUACACCAAUUUAGAUCAAGGUACAUGAAUUAAACUUAUUUGGUAUGUGAAUUAUACUUGGUUCAUUAGGAUUUUUAUUACAUAAAUUUUACAUAUAAGAAGAAUAUUACACGAAAGUACCCAACUGAAAAAUUGAAUCAUUAUACAGUCAUACACCAUAAAGCUUUAAGAAAUACGAUAGCUUCAGUAAUUAACAAAUGAAAACUACUUUCUUUAAAAUUUAACUAAAUUAGAAUGUAAUAAUCCCAUAAUUGCUCUCCACUUUCCCUAAUCACGUUUACUCUUCUAAAUACACCUAAUCAUUAUUAUAUGUACUCUCCCAAAGACACCUAAUCCCACCUAAUGAUAAAAAGAUAAAUCGGAGAGUCCACCCCUGGCACCCUGUGUUGAUUCUUCUUCCUCCUCUCUGGCAUGGCUUCCAUCCUCUUCUUAUCUGUUUUUUUUCCCCUUCUCUUCUUUCUUCUCCUUAUGGGCAUUGUUUCUUUUCUCCUAAC